rnacentral:rRNA from 1 species
ACCGCCAGCUAAGGUCCCAAAGUCAUGGUUAAGUGGGAAACGAUGUGGGAAGGCCCAGACAGCCAGGAUGUUGGCUUAGAAGCAGCCAUCAUUUAAAGAAAGCGUAAUAGCUCACUGGUCGAGUCGGCCUGCGCGGAAGAUGUAACGGGGCUAAACCAUGCACCGAAGCUGCGGCAGCGACGCUGAUGCGUUGUUGGGUAGGGGAGCGUUCUGUAAGCCUGUGAAGGUGGCCUGUGAGGGUUGCUGGAGGUAUCAGAAGUGCGAAUGCUGACAUAAGUAACGAUAAAGCGGGUGAAAAGCCCGCUCGCCGGAAGACCAAGGGUUCCUGUCCAACGUUAAUCGGGGCAGGGUGAGUCGACCCCUAAGGCGAGGCCGAAAGGCGUAGUCGAUGGGAAACGGGUUAAUAUUCCCGUACUUGGUGUUACUGCGAAGGGGGGACGGAGAAGGCUAUGUUGGCCGGGCGACGGUUGUCCCGGUUUAAGCGUGUAGGUGUGUGUUCCAGGUAAAUCCGGUUCACUUUAACACUGAGGCGUGAUGACGAGGCACUACGGUGCUGAAGCAACAAAUGCCCUGCUUCCAGGAAAAGCCUCUAAGCAUCAGGUAACAUCAAAUCGUACCCCAAACCGACACAGGUGGUCAGGUAGAGAAUACCAAGGCGCUUGAGAGAACUCGGGUGAAGGAACUAGGCAAAAUGGUGCCGUAACUUCGGGAGAAGGCACGCUGACAC